CCCAUGCAAUCACUUUACAGUAUAAAAAGGGGGAAAAAAUCAGCAUGCGGAAACCCUAAAGGCACUCUUAAACCUUCACCAAUAUAUCCUCCUGUGGUAAUGACAUAUUUACUUAGAGAUUUAAAUAAAAUAAAAUAAAAAAAGUAAUAAAGUUUCAGAACAGGAUCUUAACUUGUAAGGUUCACUAGGAUUUAUUUAUAGAAAUAACACUUUCUGUUAAAAAAAAAAAAAAGUAAAGAAAAAGAAGUUACUUAAAUCAGGAAGAUUGUUCCAUUCACUGCAAAAUAGGGGAUCUGCUUGUUUCAUAAUCUACCACAGUUUUGACUCAGCGCAUGAUCUUUGGGAACUAAGCAGUAAUUCCUCUUUCAGAGACCGAAAAACUCACGUGUGGAUAUACAGCUGUUUUGGUUUCGAGAAAAAAGCUAAGAAAGGACUUCGCCAAAACUUCACCACCUGGCUCUUGGAUAUAUCUCCAGCGCUAGACUCCAUAUCCUCACAAAAUCUUUAUUAUUCUGUGUUCCUGUUGUAGCCAAAGGUUUGAUUAGAAAUGCUGGGAGAGAGCUUCAUACUCAUGUUAAACUACAGAGAGGAGGCUAUAUGCUCUCCAGACAUGACAUCAUUCUCUCCUUCUGCUGAUUGUGUUCAUGAGACUUACACACUUGCACAGGUUAAAGACACAUUAUCUCUUGAGCCAGGCAGAGAUGUCAGGCCUGUGCAGAAACUGUCUAAGGCCAAGGUUCCUUACAACGGACCUGAUCUCUACAUCUCAAAUCGUGAUGGAAAGCCCUUUGUAAGCCCGAGUCAACCGGAGGAGUCUAAUACUAUCUUGGACAAGCAGUCUUUAGACCUGCAACUGAAUAGCAUCACAGAG